UACAGAGGGUGCGAGCGUUGUCCGGAAUCACUGGGCGUAAAGGGCGCGUAGGCGGCCUGAUAAGUAGGGGGGUGAAAUCCUGUGGCUUAACUGCAGGGCUGCCUCCUAGACUGUUAGGCUCGAGCACGGUAGAGGCAGAUGGAAUUCCCGGUGUAGCGGUGGAAUGCGUAGAGAUCGGGAAGAACAUCGGUGGCGAAGGCGGUUCUCUGGGCCUUACCUGACGCUGAGGAGCGAAAGCGUGGGGAGCGAACAGG
rnacentral:rRNA from 1 species